GGGGAUUUGGCUCAGUGGUAGAGCACUUGCCUAGCAAGUGCAAGUCCCUG
rfam:Rattus norvegicus chromosome 14, whole genome shotgun sequence.